AGAGCGAACGCUGGCGGCAGGCCUAACACAUGCAAGUCGCACGAGAAAGGGACUUCGGUCCUGGAGUACAGUGGCGCACGGGUGAGUAACACGUGAAUAAUCUACCUCCGAGUGGGGAAUAACUGAGAGAAAUCUUAGCUAAUACCGCAUAACACUUACGAGUCAAAGCAGCAAUGCGCUUGGAGAGGAGUUCGCGGCAGAUUAGUUAGUUGGCGGGGUAAUGGCCCACCAAGACGGAUGAUCUGUA
rnacentral:rRNA from 1 species